rnacentral:tRNA from 1 species
GUGGGUAUAGCUCAGUGGUAGGGCACGUGCUUGACGUGUGCAAGAUUCUGGGUUCAAUCCCCAGUGCCUCCA